rnacentral:sRNA from 1 species
CGGCUUGUGGUCAGUGUAGACUGUGAAGU